UACGAAGGGGGCUAGCGUUGCUCGGAAUCACUGGGCGUAAAGCGCACGUAGGCGGCUUGUUAAGCCAGGGGUGAAAUCCUGGAGCUCAACUCCAGAACUGCCUUUGAUACUGGCGAGCUUGAGUCCGGGAGAGGUGAGUGGAACUGCGAGUGUAGAGGUGAAAUUCGUAGAUAUUCGCAAGAACACCAGUGGCGAAGGCGGCUCACUGGCCCAGUACUGACGCUGAGGUGCGAAAGCGUGGGGAGCAAACAGG
rnacentral:rRNA from 1 species